rnacentral:tRNA from 1 species
CGGGGUGUAGCGCAGCUGGUUAGCGCGCUUGGUUCGGGACCAAGAGGUCGCUGGUUCAAAUCCAGUCACCCCGA